rnacentral:rRNA from 1 species
AGUGAACGCUGGCGGUAGGCCUAACACAUGCAAGUCGAACGGCAGCACAGUAAGAGCUUGCUCUUACGGGUGGCGAGUGGCGGACGGGUGAGGAAUACAUCGGAAUCUACUUUUUCGUGGGGGAUAACGUAGGGAAACUUGCGCUAAUACCGCAUACGACCUACGGGUGAAAGCAGGGGAUCUUCGGACCUUGCGCGAUUGAAUGAGCCGAUGUCGGAUUAGCUAGUUGGCGGGGUAAAGGCCCACCAAGGCGACGAUCCGUAGCUGGUCUGAGAGGAUGAUCAGCCACACUGGAACUGAGACACGGUCCAGACUCCUACGGGAGGCAGCAGUGGGGAAUAUUGGACAAUGGGCGCAAGCCUGAUCCAGCCAUACCGCGUGGGUGAAGAAGGCCUUCGGGUUGUAAGGCCCUUUUGUUGGGAAAGAAAAGCAGCAGGUUAAUACCCCGCUGUUCUGACGGUACCCAAAGAAUAAGCACCGGCUAACUUCGUG